GUGUGUAUAAUUUAAAAAAAUAUUAGAUUGUGAUUCUAAAAAUGAGAGCUAAGCCCUCUCUACCCACC
rnacentral:tRNA from 1 species